GAAUAAACUCAUUACCCACAAACAUUCGAAUCGAACCAUUAUGUUUGAAUUUCAAUGCAAACAUCUAUAGUCACAUACACGGAAUAUCUAGAUCAAGAACAGGAAAUAUAAACCCACAAAUAACAACAAAUUUAUAAAACCCAGAUUAUGAGCAGUUGAUUAACUUGCCAUCCAAUCAAUAGCCGAUCAUGUAUAAAAACUGUAAUUUUCAAAAUCAAACAUCUGAGAAAUAAACCUGCAAAUAACAAAAUCAAUACCAAAUUCUUUUAAUAAAAUCAAACCCUUGAAGGAACGAUCUUGUUCAAAUUCACAGUACCUAAUGAACGAUCUUGCAUUUUGGCCUUACCAUGAAAUUUCUCAUAAAGUUGUUAUCAAUCAAAAGAGAAAAAAAACUAAUCAAUGCAUGACAGAGUAGAUCAUAUAACCAGAAAAUCUUGUAAGAAUUCAACAUUUAAUGACCGAUAUAAAUAAGUGAACUCAAAAUUGUAUAAUCUCAUAUUUUUUAAUCAACUAGCAACACGUAGUAGUUUUGAGCUUAAUCCUACAUAAUUACCACAUUUUAUCCAAUUAUUUUUUUAUUUAAUCUUACAUAGUUAACAUUUUAAUAAAAAACUUACCAAUUUUCCCAUAUAAUCCAAUACCAUGUAAGUUGAAUUUGAACAAUCAGGUUUAAAUUUUUUCAAGAUUUUCCUUUUCUAAUAAUAUAGGGCCAUAUAACACAUAAGACCACUAUAUUCGGGGGCUAGUUGGUCAUACCUUAAGUAAUGGGUUGUUUCUAUCUCCAUAUGUAUGUAACGACAAGAUGCGGUAAUAAUACCUCUUUAUCUUUGCUUUCUUAUUUAGUUCCUUUGUAAUCCAUUGUUUCCAUCCCCUGGGGCUACUAUUAACCUAACACAAAAAAACAAAGAAAAUGAAUAAGCCCGUUUCCAAAAUAAGCUAUAUUUUUCAAAAAUUGAAAUGUUUCUUAAAUCCAUAUAUAUAUAUAUAUAUAUNNNNNNNNNNNNNNNNNNNNGAGUUAUAUAUAUAUAUAUAUAUAUAUAUAUAUAUAUAUAUAUAUAUAUAUAUUCCCCUUUUCUUCAUAUCAGUUUUUAUGCAGCCCCUCACAUAAAACAUUCCAACAACUCUACACUUUAACUCCCUUGAUCGAUGUUUCUAUCAGCUUAACCUGCAAUAAAAUAUUUAAGUCACAAGGAAAAAUUAUUAGUUUUAAUGAAUUACAAGUUUAAAGUUGCGAUUGGUUUUCACUCCAAGGAUUUUUGGAGUUUUAAAAACCAGUUUAUCUAUCCUCGACAGGAGAACAAAAUACAUGUCAAUAUUAUAAUGAUCAAAUCCAUUUUGCACUUGAAAAACGAAAACCAUAAAUCCAAUAAAGAAAAUGUCUAUUAAAACGAAUUAAAGAUUCAUACACUUGAUUCAAGAAAACCAAAGAUUAGGUGUUUGCCUUUGUUUCACCUUUUGGGGAACGACGUGAAUCAGCUUUAGUCAAUUUUGAAUUUACUAAAUCCUUUAUCCAAACAAUAAAAACCAAGAAAAAAGCUCAGUAAUGCAAUACAUCAAACAUGUUAUGGAAGAACGAAGAACAAAGAAUAAACAAACCAACAAUUACCUUAUGGCAAACGACAACAUAUGUUAGACCUGAAAAUAAACAAAUAAUAAUAAUAAUACAUGAAAAAGAUGCAACCAAAGUUGAAAAAACUCGGUUAAAAACAAAUAAUCAAUUCAAUAAUUCGCAUAGAAAGAAUCAUAAUAACGAAAAUGCAGAAAUGGAUAACAAGAAUUCAUCAAGGCAAACAAACCCUAGACAAAAAAAAACAAACAAACAAAAAACUUUACCUAAACUUGAAAUGAUGACGAUCAACAAACGGGUUCACAAUAAGCUCUCCAAUACCCUUGAAGCUUCAGAUCGUAAAAUAAAAUUCAACUGAGAUAAAGAGAAAAGCCUCGUCAGCUAGAAGAGAGGGCGAACAAAGAGCAAUUUUGCAUUAUAUCAAUAAGUUGGUUGGCAUUCGAACAUCUUUGGAAAACCUAAAACUCAAAGACAAUUUUGUUUCUUGAUUUGAAUUUAUCAGAUGCCAGGGUUUGAAUGAUUCAAAGUUUGGAAACCAUUUUCUUUCCUGAUUUUAUGAGAUGCUAGGUUCUAAACAUGAGUGAAAUAGGAGAUUGAUUUAAAUUUGAUGAUUUCUUGAUAUCAGAGAUCACGUUCGUUAUCAAACAAUUUGAAUUUUUAAUAUGUCUAAGAUUAAGGGAUUUGAUUUUCAAAUUUAGUGGGACUUUUUAGUCUAACACUGAAAUCAACUUAGGCGGAAGGGCAUUUGGGGAAAUUCAUUUUGGUAUUUUGAGCGGGAAAAAUUAAUUUGGGGGUGCUAUGACAAAAUUGGUUUUAUUUAUUAGAUCAGGGGAUACCUUUAUUACAGUAUGUGGGAUGAGUUUUAUUUUUUUAACUUUAUGGCCCCUUCUUUUAUUCUCUAUACGAUUAAGUAAAUUCAGAAAAAUAUAAAUUAAUCUUAUUUGCUUAUUAUCUUGAAACUAAUAAAAUAAAAGAUAACCAACUGAAUUACAGAAAUUUACUGAAAAAAAUCAAAACCAAAUCUUAAUUUUAAAAGAUACUAACCGUUUGGAAACUAAAACUAUACAUAUAAACCCAAAAACUAUUCCAAUUUACAAUCUAUUAAUGUAAUCUUUCAUUAAAUAUUAUACCCUAAACUAGAGAUUAUCACUAAGGCCGAAAAAAUUACUCACCGAAAAAUGUGCGACUCCUCAAAUCUUCCGGAGUUCUCAGCAGUGAACAUCGUCACCACCGCUGGAGUGCUCGUCAUUCCUUCUAUCAUCUCUUUGCUGAACUUUGUGCUCCAAAUUGGUAAAGUUUUUUCUCUUUCUCACCCUAUUCUUUUUCUCUAUCUUUUUCUUUUUGUUUCUCUUUAAAAGAAUGUGAUUAGAUAAAAAACGUUGGAAUGUGAAAAAGAUGUAAAAAAGUAAUUGAAAAACCUCUCACUGUAAAGCUAAAGACUGCAAUAUAUUUAUUUAUUGUUAUUUGUUAUUUAU
rnacentral:lncRNA from 1 species